AAUAUGAGCAUGAUAAAUCAGAUUUUUUUCUCUUGAUUUUCAACUUUUUUUUUCUUGAAGAAAUUCAAAUACAACUAAAUAUGCUAAAAAUCGGGAGAAAAAAUCUGAUUUGUCAUGUUCCUAUU
rfam:Gossypium hirsutum cultivar TM-1 chromosome 17, whole genome shotgun sequence